rnacentral:rRNA from 1 species
GAUGAACGCUGGCGGCGUGCCUAAUACAUGCAAGUCGAGCGAACAGACGAGGAGCUUGCUCCUCUGACGUUAGCGGCGGACGGGUGAGUAACACGUGGAUAACCUACCUAUAAGACUGGGAUAACUUCGGGAAACCGGAGCUAAUACCGGAUAAUAUAUUGAACCGCAUGGUUCAAUAGUGAAAGACGGUUUUGCUGUCACUUAUAGAUGGAUCCGCGCCGCAUUAGCUAGUUGGUAAGGUAACGGCUUACCAAGGCGACGAUGCGUAGCCGACCUGAGAGGGUGAUCGGCCACACUGGAACUGAGACACGGUCCAGACUCCUACGGGAGGCAGCAGUAGGGAAUCUUCCGCAAUGGGCGAAAGCCUGACGGAGCAACGCCGCGUGAGUGAUGGAGGUCUUCGGAUCGUAAAACCCUGUUAUUAGGGAAGAACAAAUGUGUAAGUAACUAUGCACGUCUUGACGGUACCUAAUCAGAAAGCCACGGCUAACUACGUG